GAUGAACGCUGGCGGCGUGCUUAACACAUGCAAGUCGAACGGUGAAGGCGGAACUUGCUCUGCUGGAUCAGUGGCGAACGGGUGAGUAACACGUGAGCAAUCUGCCCCUGACUCUGGGAUAAGCGCUGGAAACGGCGUCUAAUACUGGAUACGAGCUGCGAAGGCAUCUUCAGCAGCUGGAAAGAACUUCGGUCAGGGAUGAGCUCGCGGCCUAUCAGCUUGUUGGUGAGGUAACGGCUCACCAAGGCGUCGACGGGUAGCCGGCCUGAGAGGGUGACCGGCCACACUGGGACUGAGACACGGCCCAGACUCCUACGGGAGGCAGCAGUGGGGAAUAUUGCACAAUGGGCGAAAGCCUGAUGCAGCAACGCCGCGUGAGGGACGACGGCCUUCGGGUUGUAAACCUCUUUUAGCAGGGAAGAAGCGAAAGUGACGGUACCUGCAGAAAAAGCGCCGGCUAACUACGUG
rnacentral:rRNA from 1 species